rnacentral:rRNA from 1 species
AUUGAACGCUGGCGGCAUGCUUUACACAUGCAAGUCGAACGGUAACAGGGCGCUUGCUCCGCUGACGAGUGGCGAACGGCUGAGUAAUAUAUCGCAACGUACCCAAGAGUGGGGGAUAACGUAGCGAAAGUUACGCUAAUACCGCAUACGAUUCCAGAAUGAAAGUGGGGGACCGCAAGGCCUCAUGCUCCUGGAGCGGCCGAUAUCUGAUUAGAGAGUUGGUGAGGUAAAGGCUCACCAAGGCAACGAUCAGUAGCUUGUCUGAGAGGACGACCAGCCACACUGGGAAUGAGACACGGCCCAGACUCCGACGGGAGGCAGCAGGGGGGAAUUUGUGACAAUGGGGGCAACCCUGAGCCAGCAAUGCCGCGUGAGUGAAGAAGGACUUCGGGUUGUAAACUGCUUUGGUACGGAGCGAAAAGGUCCUGUCUAAUACAAGGGGCUCAUGACGGUACCGUAAGAAUAGGCACCGGCUAACUACGUGCCAGCCGCCGCUGUAAGAC